rnacentral:rRNA from 1 species
UACGUAGGCAGCGAGCGUUGUUCGGAGUUACUGGGCGUAAAGCGUGCGUAGGCGGUGUCUUAAGUUUGUUGUGAAAUCUCCCGGCUUAACCGGGAGGGUGCGGCGAAUACUGAGAUGCUGGAGUGCCGGAGAGGUAAGCGGAAUUCCUGGUGUAGCGGUGAAAUGCGUAGAUAUCAGGAGGAGCACCUGUGGUGUAGACAGCUUACUGGACCACUUCUGACGCUGAGACACGAAAGCGUGGGUAGCGAACAGG